AGCAGCCGCGGUAAUUCCAGCUCCAAUAGCGUAUAUUAAAGUUGUUGCAGUUAAAAAGCUCGUAGUUGAAUUUCGGGGUUAGUAGGUUGGUCAUGCCUCUGGUAUGUACUGGUCCCACUGAUUCCUCCUUCCUGAUGAACCUUAAUGCCAUUAAUUUGGUGUUUUGGGGAAUUUGGACUGUUACUUUGAAAAAAUUAGAGUGUUUAAAGCAAGCUAACGCUUGAAUACAUUAGCAUGGAAUAAUGAAAUAGGACGUUCGAUCCUAUUUUGUUGGUUUCUAGGAUUGACGUAAUGAUUAAUAGGGAUAGUUGGGGGCAUUAGUAUUCAAUUGUCAGAGGUGAAAUUCUUGGAUUUAUUGAAGACUAACUACUGCGAAAGCAUUUGCCAAGGAUGUUUUCAUUAAUCAAGAACGAAAGUUAGGGAUCGAAGACGAUCAGAUACCGUCGUAGUCUUAACCAUAAACUAUGCCGACUAGGGAUCGGAUGAUGUUAAUUUUUAUGUACUCAUUCGGCGCCUUACG
rnacentral:rRNA from 1 species